rnacentral:rRNA from 1 species
UACAGAGGGUGCAAGCGUUAAUCGGAAUUACUGGCGUAAAGCGCGCGUAGGUGGUUUGUUAAGUUGGAUGUGAAAGCCCCGGGCUCAACCUGGGAACUGCAUUCAAAACUGACAAGCUAGAGUAUGGUAGAGGGUGGUGGAAUUUCCUGUGUAGCGGUGAAAUGCGUAGAUAUAGGAAGGAACACCAGUGGCGAAGGCGACCACCUGGACUGAUACUGACAGCUGAGGUGCGAAAGCGUGGGGAGCAAACAGG